rnacentral:lncRNA from 1 species
CUAAAGUGUGGAGGGAAGGAAGCUAAGCUGGAGAGACAUUCUGCUUGUAUCCUGAAUGUUCAAAUGCUAUCUUCCAAGGAAACAGACUAUGAGACAAAACAGAGAUUAGAGAAUGUUGUGACGUCUAGGAAAGGCUCUGUUUGUACCUGCUUAUCUGAGAAGAUUGCUGUUGAAGUGAAGCUGUUGGAGGUGGAGUGGCUUCGUUUGUUAGGACUUGCCUGCCAGAAGGCGGUGCCCGUUCCCCGCAACUUUGCUUGUUUGCUGUACCAGAAAGAAGACUGAACUAGGGAGGCCAUGUAACAUAAUGGACAAGUGUUAGAGUGUUGCUUGGAGAAGAGCCUAAGAUCAUAUCCACCAAACUGGAUACAUUGUUCACCCCAAGAAAAACAUACAUCUAGGACUUCCUUCCUGUUGAUCUCUUGGGAUCCGUCUUUUCUGCUUCCUAAGCUUAGCGGUAGUUACCUAACUCUCUAAAGAACUGCAUAGUGUCUCAUCCUUUCUGCUCUGCAACGUGAGAGGGGACAAGACAAGGGAAAGUAUGUCCAUGAUAUUCAAUAUCCAGGCUCACAGAAGCAUCCACAGAGGUUGCUAAUUUUCUCUUGAGGAAGAACAGAAUGAAAAUUCAAUAGAAGUGCUGAUUGACACAGGUAUUAGACACACAAUUCGAUGAAGUGAGAGAACACUGGAAUGGAAGCCAAAAUACCUAAGAUCAAAACUUUCCUCUUAUCAUCAGCCUGGUGUUGACUUUGGGAAGCUACUCAGUCACUUUCAGCUUUUGCAUCCUCACUUGUGAAAUGAGAGGGUGAAAUUACAGAAGUCCCGUCCAGCUGCAAGAGGCCAUACAAUUAUUCACAAUAAAGAAGUAAUUCCUAUGAAAACCUUAGAAUUUAGAUUUCUAUCUUCUAAACAUUUGAUUGUUCUAUCACACCAGAAAGUAAGUAAUUUUAUAACUCAUAUCUCACGAACUAUUGCCUUUACUGAGAUGAACAAGUAAAACAUGUUCUACCAAAGCUACAGCAAUUCUACUAUGAUGCCUCUUAAAGUUUUGCCUUAGGCUAAUAAAUUAUAUCUUCCAAUUAAACCUUAACAAUGUACCUACAAUCAAGAGUCGUUAAACAUUCACUCAACAAAUUCAAGGUUAGGUGUUUGUUGAAAAAAAUACAUCUGUAAAGUCAAUUCAACCUAAAUUUUACAGUCAAGGAUGAAUCCCUAUCUAUCUAUCUAUCUAUCUAUCUAUCUAUUUAUCUACCUACCUAUCUAUCAUCUAUUUGAUAUAUGUUGUGCUUGUUUAUUCAAGUUUUGUUGUGUUGUCU